UACGGGGGGGGUAAGCGUUGUUCGGAAUUACUGGGCGUAAAGGGCUCGUAGGCGGCCAACUAAGUCAGACGUGAAAUCCCUCGGCUUAACCGGGGAACUGCGUCUGAUACUGGAUGGCUUGAGUUUGGGAGAGGGAUGCGGAAUUCCAGGUGUAGCGGUGAAAUGCGUAGAUAUCUGGAGGAACACCGGUGGCGAAGGCGGCAUCCUGGACCAACACUGACGCUGAGUGAGCGAAAGGCCAGGGGAGCAAAGCGGG
rnacentral:rRNA from 1 species